rnacentral:rRNA from 1 species
CGAACGCUGGCGGCGUGCUUAACACAUGCAAGUCGAGCGGUAAGGCCUUUCGGGGUACACGAGCGGCGAACGGGUGAGUAACACGUGGGUGAUCUGCCCUGCACUCUGGGAUAAGCCUGGGAAACUGGGUCUAAUACUGGAUAUGACUACAGCAUGCAUGUGUUGUGGUGGAAAGAUUUAUCGGUGCAGGAUGGGCCCGCGGCCUAUCAGCUUGUUGGUGGGGUAAUGGCCUACCAAGGCGACGACGGGUAGCCGACCUGAGAGGGUGACCGGCCACACUGGGACUGAGACACGGCCCAGACUCCUACGGGAGGCAGCAGUGGGGAAUAUUGCACAAUGGGCGGAAGCCUGAUGCAGCGACGCCGCGUGAGGGAUGAAGGCCUUCGGGUUGUAAACCUCUUUCAGCAGGGACGAAGCGUGAGUGACGGUACCUGCAGAAGAAGCACCGGCUAACUACGU